rnacentral:lncRNA from 1 species
CUGACAGUGAGAGGAAAUGCACUUGUCUACCUGGAUAUAAGAUGAACAAUUUGACGGAUUGGUCUAAUGGGUGUGAGCCGGAUUUCAAGCUCUCGUGCACUGACACUGUUUCAUCAGGUUUUGUCCAAUUGCUCAAUGUCCAAUAUAAUGGCUACGAUCUUGGCUCGUUCACUAAUUACACCUUCGAGAGUUGUAAAAACUUAUGCUUGAGUUAUUGUGAAUGCAAAGGAUUUCAAUAUACGUUUGACUUAGUAAAUGGUUACUAUAGUUGUAAGCCCAAGACUAUUUUAUUCAAUGGAUAUCGUUCGGGUGAUUUUCCAGAUCCCAUGUACAUAAGAGUACCCACAAUAAAUCUGAAUACGAUUAAGCCUAGCCGAGAUCUAAAUUUGCAAUGCAGUGCCCAGAUUACGCCAUUGGACAGGACUUAUGAAAGAAAAAACCAAGAUUGGGUGAAGUCUUUUCUGUGGUGUACUCUGGCUAUUGGAGCUUUCGAGAUAAUCUGUUUAUUCACUUACUUCUUCAAAACCCAAAGACGGUCUAGUGCAAAGAUACAGGGCUACCUUCAGGUUGCAACGGGAUUUAGGAAAUUCAGUUAUGCCGAGCUGAAGAAGGCAACAAGGAACUUCAGCGAAGAAAUAGGACAAGGAGGGGGUGGUGUUGUAUACAAAGGCAUGUUGUCGGAUAAUCGAGUUGCUGCAAUCAAGUAUCUAAAGGAAGCAAUCCAAGGAGAAGCUGAAUUUCUUGCAGAGAUAAGCACCAUUGGGAGGCUCAACCAUAUGAAUUUGAUAGAAAUAUGGGGCUAUUGUGCCGAGGGGAAGCACAGGCUUUUGGUGUACGAAUACAUGGAACACGGGACUCUAGCAAACAGUUUGUAUUCUGAUAAACUUGAUUGGAAGAAGAGAUAUGAAAUUGCUCUAGGUACAGCCAGGGGACUUGCUUACCUGCACGAAGAGUGCCUUGAGUGGGUUUUGCAUUGUGAUGUGAAGCCAGAAAACAUACUUUUGAACUCUGGUUAUCAGCCAAAGGUAGCAGACUUUGGGCUCUCUAAACUGCUGAACAGAAGUG